ensembl:snoRNA
UCACCAAAAGUUAACUUUGGGGGUAAGGUUUUUCAUAACCUUUACCAACCUAGACUGUUUGGGAGACUAAAAGACCACACUCCACAGUGAACUAUACCACUAAGUAUAUAGUUCAUUACUAUUUUGUGGUUACAUC